rnacentral:rRNA from 1 species
GACGGAGGAUGCAAGCGUUAUCCGGAAUGAUUGGGCGUAAAGCGUCCGCAGGUGGCAGUUCAAGUCUGCUGUCAAAGACCGGGGCUUAACUUCGGAAAGGCAGUGGAAACUGAACAGCUAGAGUAUGGUAGGGGCAGAGGGAAUUCCUGGUGUAGCGGUGAAAUGCGUAGAUAUCAGGAAGAACAUCGGUGGCGAAGGCGCUCUGCUGGACCAUAACUGACACUCAGGGACGAAAGCGUGGGGAGCAAACAGG